UACCAGCACCCCGAGUGGUCGGGACGUUUAUUGGGCCUAAAGCAUCCGUAGCCGGUUCUACAAGUCUUCCGUUAAAUCCACCUGCUCAACAGUUGGGCUGCGGAGGAUACUAUAGAGCUAGGAGGCGGGAGAGGCAAGCGGUACUCAGUGGGUAGGGGUAAAAUCCGUUGAUCCAUUGAAGACCACCAGUGGCGAAGGCGGCUUGCCAGAAUGCGCUCGACGGUGAGGGAUGAAAGCUGGGGGAGCAAACAGG
rnacentral:rRNA from 1 species